rnacentral:rRNA from 1 species
AUUGAACGCUGGCGACAUGCCUUACACAUGCAAGUCGAACGGCAGCACGGGUGCUUGCACCUGGUGGCGAGUGGCGAACGGGUGAGUAAUACAUCGGAACAUGUCCUGUAGUGGGGGAUAGCCCAGCGAAAGCCGGAUUAAUACCGCAUACGAUCUACGGAUGAAAGCGGGGGACCUUCGGGCCUCGCGCUAUAGGGUUGGCCGAUGGCUGAUUAGCUAGUUGGUGGGGUAAAGGCCUACCAAGGCGACGAUCAGUAGCUGGUCUGAGAGGACGACCAGCCACACUGGGACUGAGACACGGCCCAGACUCCUACGGGAGGCAGCAGUGGGGAAUUUUGGACAAUGGGCGAAAGCCUGAUCCAGCAAUGCCGCGUGUGUGAAGAAGGCCUUCGGGUUGUAAAGCACUUUUGUCCGGAAAGAAAUCCUUGGCCCUAAUACGGUCGGGGGAUGACGGUACCGGAAGAAUAAGCACCGGCUAACUACGUG